UGGCUUAGAGGGUAAAGCGUCUGCCUGGAAUGCGGGAGACCUGGGUUCAAUCCCUG
rnacentral:tRNA from 1 species